rnacentral:rRNA from 1 species
CAGUCGCCGCGGUAAUACCGAGGGUGCGAGCGUUAAUCGGAUUUACUGGGCGUAAAGCGUGCGUAGGCGGCUUUUUAAGUCGGAUGUGAAAUCCCUGAGCUUAACUUAGGAAUUGCAUUCGAUACUGGGAAGCUAGAGUAUGGGAGAGGAUGGUAGAAUUCCAGGUGUAGCGGUGAAAUGCGUAGAGAUCUGGAGGAAUACCGAUGGCGAAGGCAGCCAUCUGGCCUAAUACUGACGCUGAGGUACGAAAGCAUGGGGAGCAAACAGGUUUAGAUACCCCAGUAGUCCCUGUCUCUUAUAC